rnacentral:lncRNA from 1 species
ACGUCCAGCCUAGAAAUUCAAACUGGCAGCAGUGGCACGAGCGAGUCGCCUCAGCUCCUCCCCCGAGGGAAUAGCGCGAUCCUCGGCCGUGGGCACCACUUGUGCAGCAUCAGUGGCAGAGCGCUCCUCCGGCUCCAGAUCGGCCGGGAUCCGGAGCUCGAGCGCGCCACGCCGCCUCUCAUCUGGUUUCUCCGCCGGGCCAGUCGCUUCUUCGGGCCAGACAGGCCGCCCAUCCUUUCUCCGCUUUACGGAUUUCCGGGGGCGACGAAUUUUGCCUCGGUCCCUACGAGCAUCUCUCCGCUUCGCUCCCCCGCCCCUCGCGACUCCCCCCACUCCUGGGCGCGCGCGCGCACACUCACUCACACUCUCAGGCGCGCGUGCGCACGCCCGCGCGCCCCGAGCCGCGGAGUCUCCAGCGCCCCUGAGCAGAUCCCACUCUCCCGGGCGCUGCUACUCACACAGGCUUCCAGCCGCCACGGGGCGUCCUCUGUCUGCGGCAGCAGCGGCGGCGCGAGCGGAGGCUGCAGUCUAGCCGGGUCUGGCUGCUCGGCGCCCUGGACAGAGUCCGGCAGAAGCGAUCGGGAGGAGACGCCGAGGCAAGGAGGAGCCGCGCCGCGCCCGGCGCUCGCUUGCCUCGAAUUCCCGCACCGCGGCCCCAGGUCCUUGACAGCCAGCAUGAUAAAGUAUUGACAAUACUCGGAGGAGAGAGAGAGAGACUCACAUCGCUCAGACUGUGAGUCCCAGAAGUUGAUGACCUUGUUUGGUGAUUGGUGGUGGAAGGAAGAACAGACCCCAUGUGAGUAAGUAAUUGAACGCCGGGGAGUUUUCUAGUCUUGGAUUCUGGCUUUUCUUUUGUUUGUUUGUUUGUUUUGUUAUGUUUUGUUAUUUAUUCAUUCAUUUAUUUGAUGAAGGUUUGGGAUAGACAGAUAGGCAAUGACAGGUGGUGGCAGGAACCCCUCACUUCAGUAACUCACUUGCUCUAAGAUGAGUGACAGCUAACCACAAAGCACAGAGACCUCAGGGAAGUGAGCAGGACACACAUGCCACUUAGCCACCCACACAUGUAAUUCUCCGCCCGGUCAAGAAUAAAGCACAGACUCCCGGAGUGGUGACCCGGGGG